rnacentral:rRNA from 1 species
AUUGAACGAUGGCGGCAGGCCUAACACAUGCAAGUCGAACGAGUGGCGGACGGGUGAGUAAUGGCUGGGAAACUGCCUGAUGGAGGGGGAUAACUACUGGAAACGGUAGCUAAUACCGCAUACCAUCGGAUGUGCCCAGAUGGGUUUAGAUAGUAGGUGGGGUAAAGGCUCACCUAGGCGACGAUCCCUAGCUGGGCUGAGAGGAUGACCAGCCACACUGUAACUGAGACACGGUCCAGACUCCUACGAGAGGCAGCAGUGGGGAAUAUUGCACAUUGGGCACAAGCCUGAUGCAGCCAUGCCGCGUGUAUGAAAAAGGCCUUCGGGUUGUAAAGUACUUUCAGCGGUGAGGCGUUACCCGCAGAAGAAGCACCGGCUAACUCCGUGCCAGCAGCCGCGGUAAUUC